UCCAAAAGCUGUCUUAGGCCUGACUCAUC
rnacentral:piRNA from 1 species